rnacentral:rRNA from 1 species
AUAGAACGCUGGCGGAAUGCUUUACACAUGCAAGUCGAACGGCAGCACGGACUUCGGUCUGGUGGCGAGUGGCGAACGGGUGAGUAAUGUAUCGGAACGUGCCCAGUCGUGGGGGAUAACGUAGUGAAAAUUACGCGAAUACCGCAUACGAUCUAUGGAUGAAAGCGGGGGAUCGCAAGACCUCGCGCGAUUGGAGCGGCCGAUAUCAGAUUAGGUAGUUGGUGGGGUAAAGGCCCACCAAGCCAACGAUCUGUAGCUGGUCUGAGAGGACGACCAGCCGCACUGGAACUGAGACACGGUCCAGACUCCUACGGGAGGCAGCAGUGGGGAAUUUUGGACAAUGGGCGAAAGCCUGAUCCAGCCAUUCCGCGUGCAGGAUGAAGGCCCUCGGGUUGUAAACUGCUUUUGUACAGAACGAAAAGGUUUCUACUAAUACUAGGAGCUCAUGACGGUACUGUAAGAAUAAGCACCGGCUAACUACGUGCCAGCCGCCGCUGUAA